AUUGAACGCUGGCGGCAGGCCUAACACAUGCAAGUCGGACGGUAGCACAGAGGAGCUUGCUCCUCGGGUGACGAGUGGCGGACGGGUGAGUAAUGUCUGGGGAUCUGCCCGAUAGAGGGGGAUAACCACUGGAAACGGUGGCUAAUACCGCAUAACGUCGCAAGACCAAAGAGGGGGACCUUCGGGCCUCUCACUAUCGGAUGAACCCAGAUGGGAUUAGCUAGUAGGCGGGGUAACGGCCCACCUAGGCGACGAUCCCUAGCUGGUCUGAGAGGAUGACCAGCCACACUGGAACUGAGACACGGUCCAGACUCCUACGGGAGGCAGCAGUGGGGAAUAUUGCACAAUGGGCGCAAGCCUGAUGCAGCCAUGCCGCGUGUAUGAAGAAGGCCUUCGGGUUGUAAAGUACUUUCAGCGGGGAGGAAGGCGAUAAGGUUAAUAACCUUGUCGAUUGACGUUACCCGCAGAAGAAGCACCGGCUAACUCCGUGCCAGCAGCCGCCGCAG
rnacentral:rRNA from 1 species